AACAUCUUCAUCAUUCACACAAUUCAAUCAAAUAUCAUGGGUUUAACAACAAGACUUUCAUCAUUCACACAAUUUAAUCUAAUUUCAUAGGUUUAACAACAACAUCUUCAUCCUUCACACAAUUCAAUCAAAUAUCAUGGGUUUAACAACAAGACUUUCAUCAUUCACACAAUUUAAUCUAAUUUCAUAGGUUUAACAACAACAUAU
rnacentral:lncRNA from 1 species